AUUGAACGCUGGCGGCAUGCCUACACAUGCAAGUCGAACGGCAGCGCGGGAGCAAUCUGGCGGCGAGCGGCGAACGGGUGAGUAAUACAUCGGAACGUGCCCAAUCGUGGGGGAUAACGCAGCGAAAGCUGUGCUAAUACCGCAUACGAUCUACGGAUGAAAGCAGGGGACCGCAAGGCCUUGCGCGAAUGGAGCGGC
rnacentral:rRNA from 1 species